CUUUAUUAUGGUUGCAGAAAUUAAUUAACUUACCAGAAACCAAAACUGCCGUUUUUUUCAAAACUUUGACAAAGGAAUCCAUUCCACUGUGACCGUCGAUCUGAAUAUGCGAAUCGGUAAUAAAAGUAAUUCAAAUAAAAACGCAAACAAAAAGAAACUAGCCGUUACGGCUCACAAAUUCAAAUGCACAACACUAAGUUGCCCGUUUGUUUUUUCAUUAAAGAGGAAGAGAAACAAAUCUCUUCUUCUUCGUCCUCGAAAAUACCUGCAAAAUCAGUAGAAGCCAUUCUCUCUCUUUCAAAACUCCUCUCUCUCUCUCUCUCGGAUACUGCAUUGUUCUUAUCCUGAGAUUUCUAUUUCCUUGCGAUUGAAUUAUGGUUGGUUGAUUUCUUUAUUUGAGACGAUUGCUUAAUCUGGACCUGAUAAAGAGAGAAAUUAAAGAACUGAGGCGCCAGAGAGAUUUUGCACAAUCUCAAGUGGAUGAGUUGCAGAAAAAACUGCAAGAGGACCAACGGCUUCUAGCACAUUGGAAUCAACACCACGUCCAUCGGUAAAGAACUGUCUCUCUCUCCUACGCUGAUGCAUUAUUAUGAAAACUUGAGAACAAGGAGAUAAACCGCUGCGACAGAGCAAGGAAAACUAUGUUAAGGCAAUACAUCAUCAACUGCACCUGUUACUCUAAUGCAUGAAAUCCGUAAACUCGAACAUCUCAGGAGCAACUUGGAGCUCUAGAAGUAUUGCAAAAGGAAAGUCAUAUAGUCUAGGUGACCGAGAUGCAGCGGAGUCCAUUGCCAAGCUGCAAGGGAAAUGCAAUCUAUUCAAAAAAGAUUGUUGAUGUUGUUGAGAAGGAAGAAGGGGAGUUAGAGGAGGUGAGAUUGAUUUGGAUAUGGAACCAGGUGAGAACGUAUGGGGGAUGUUUUCAAUAUGAACAUUGAUGGGUUUUUUAUGAAGUUGCUUUGGAGAGUUUAACUGUAAAAAGAAAAUGAUGCUUUGGGGAGUGUAACUGUAAAAAACCAUUUCAUGCAGUUUGUACAUUGGAGGGCUUGCAGGAAGUUGUUCUGGGAAAUAGCAUUUCCAAUAAAGAUGAUCUUAUUCAAUUGUCAUUCACUGCUGUUCGAGUGAUUAAUUCUGUUUUCUCCUCGAUGAACCAUAUAGUAAGAGAACAUAACAGGGACAGCUUUUCAAGGUUCCUUCUCUUUUCACCCCUGAGCAUUCUGAAGAGGUAUGGCUAGUGUAAUUUCAAUCUUAGAUCUUGUUGUUUGCUUUGUUACUUGCUAUGGUAUUACUGUCACUUGGGUUGAUCUUCUGUCAUUAAGAAGUCUAGAAGUGGUAUAUGUUUCCACAGAUUGAGAUCGUGCUUGCCUCUAGAGAUUCUUCUGGUGUUUUUCCGAGUUCUUAGAAGGAUAAUGAUGUGAUUGGUAAAAGUUCAGGUUACAGAACUGAAGGAGUUUCGAAUUUUAAGAAUUUGCUGAUCCAAGUUUCAAAUUUUAAGAAUAGAGCGCUUUGCUUCCUUUAUUCCUCCACAAAGAUCAGAUGAGGUCAAAGUUUUAUCUUCCUUUUUAUGGUUUUUGCGGUACUUGCCUCUAUAUAUCUAUCUACCAAUUGUUGCAGCUAUCUAUUUCAUCUAGACCAUAUUUAGACAGCUUCUGCUGGCCUUGGUUUCUCUUUAUGUUCUGUAACCUCCUGAACAGUUUCAGGACAAAAGUUCAUACUUGGCUUCUCUUUCUUCAUGGGUAUUUCAGUACUCCAAUACUUCAGAUAGUACUAUAAUCAAAUAGGAUCAAAAUGCGGGUCAUGUUUACACUGGUUCCUUUGUUAGACCUCCACAAAUAUCAGUACCCCAAUUAUUGGGCUGCCUGUCAUCCAUCACCUACACGGGAAUCAGCACUUCCUUUACAGUAUAAUAUUUGCAGUUCAUUUGGUUCUCUGUAAUAUUAGGAAAUUCAUUUUCAUUUUAUUCAGCUGGAUAUAAUCUUGAGGAUGAGGAGGGCAUUAUUGAACCGAAGAUGGCAAUUAAUAUAAUGAUCAAGAUAUUAAAGUAUAUUACUUGAUUUUUUAAUGGUCACCGAAUGAAACACUUUAUUUUUUGUGUUGGUUUAGCUUUCUAUGGCAGUGCAAGUUCUAAUUUAACAGGUCGUGUUUCCUCUAAAGAUAAGUUUAUUUUCUAUUAUCUCAUAUUUCGAAGUUUUACUAUUGUUUUAUAUAUUUAAUAUUAUUCUUAAUUUGCUUUUAAUCUCUCUUUAUUCUAUAGUAUAUUUGUUUAUUUGCACUUUUAUUUGCUAAUUUUGUUUACUAAUCUAAUUCUUUUCAUAGUGACAGGUUCUAAUUACCCAGUUUUGAUAUCCUAAGUGGUCUUUAUUGGACUUUUAGGAUUAAUUUAGUUAAUUAAUCAGUUAAUUUCUUAUUUGACUUUUUGAGGCUUUUAAGCUAUGGUUGUAAUUAAUUCCCCCUUAAUUGCCCCGAUCUCCUUAAUCCCUUUUUGGAUUUCUCUUUUCUCCUCCCCCUUUCUAUGUAUGUUUUAUUUUAUUGUUUUUAGAUUUUCACCACAUUUAAGGGACUGAAAUCAACUUAGGAUUUAUGAGCGAUCAUUUAGCAUGCCUAACAUAAAAUGAAUAAAACUUACCAAAGUAAGCUUCUCGCAGUUCAUAUCUACACUCACUUUAAAAUGCUAAUUUACCACGAAAUUUAUGUAAUAAAAUUGGAUUCAAAUUUGGCCACCUUGCAUGUGAAAGAUAAAAAAUCUGAGUUAUCAAAGUACCUUCCGUCAGGACUAGUUUUGAGUGCUAAUAUACCUCCUUCUAUAGCUUUGGACUUUUAGGAUUAGUU